AACUUUCAACAACGGAUCUCUUGGCUCUGGCAUCGAUGAAGAACGCAGCGAAAUGCGAUAAGUAGUGUGAAUUGCAGAAUUCAGUGAAUCAUCGAAUCUUUGAACGCACAUUGCGCCCGCCAGCAUUCUGGCGGGCAUGCCUGUUCGAGCGUCAU
rnacentral:rRNA from 1 species